rnacentral:rRNA from 1 species
AUGGACCUCAAAGCUGAUGCAAUAAUGCAUGAACUUGCCAAAAGGACACUCUGUUUAUUAGGGUCGUUUCAGUUUUCAAGUGUCAUCAGUGAUACAUGGAUGGAUGGUGUCGCCAUUGCUCCACUGCCCCAUGUUUUGGUUGUUUUGGUCCACGACCAAGGCAAGUCUGUUGUUACCAUUAUCUUCUUGGGAGUACUUGAGAAGGCGUGGCUGGGAAUGUGGGGACACGCCAUGGUAGAGGCGCGUGGUCGGCAGGAGGAGUCAUGGAGGCAUGAAGGUGGACAUGUGGAUGUUAUCGUGGCAUUGACACAUUUCGCUCCACCGAUGCUACAUACCAGGACGCGUACGAUUCGCUUGAUUCGGGUGGGAACAUUACAAUCAAGUGGGCACUGGAAUGAUCAUGUGAUGCAUUGUUUGAAGUUAAGACUAAUUCAGUUCAGUCUGUUUGAAGCUAAGACAAAUUUCCUUGGCAUUUCACUAGAUGUGGUGUUAAUGGCCUGA